AUUCUCAGGGCAGGGUGAAAUUCCCUACCGGUGGUGACAGCCCACGAGCACUUAAAAGUGCGGUCAAUUUUGAUUGUGUUUUAACAAAAUUGUUUCGCUUUGUACUUUUAAGGUUAGCAGAUUUGGUGAAAUUCCAAAGCCGACAGUAUAGUCUGGAUGAAAGAGAAUA
rnacentral:ncRNA from 1 species